rnacentral:rRNA from 1 species
UACGUAGGGUGCAAGCGUUGUCCGGAAUCAUUGGGCGUAAAGAGCGUGUAGGCGGCCUUUUAAGUCCUGCGUGAAAUCCUGCGGCUCAACCGCAGACGGUCGUGGGAAACUGGAAGGCUGGAGGUCGGUAGAGGCGAGUGGAAUUCCCGGUGUAGUGGUGAAAUGCGUAGAGAUCGGGAGGAACACCAGUGGCGAAGGCGGCUCGCUGGGCCGGACCUGACGCUGAGACGCGAAGGCGUGGGGAGCGAACGGG